UACGUAGGGGGCAAGCGUUGUCCGGAAUUACUGGGCGUAAAGGGCUCGUAGGCGGCCAACUAAGUCGGACGUGAAAUCCCCAGGCUCAACCUGGGAACUGCGUCUGAUACUGGAUGGCUUGAAUCCGGGAGAGGGAUGCAGAAUUCCAGGUGUAGCGGUGAAAUGCGUAGAUAUCUGGAGGAAUACCGGUGGCGAAGGCGGCAUCCUGGACCGGCAUUGACGCUGAGGAGCGAAAGCCAGGGGAGCAAAGCGGG
rnacentral:rRNA from 1 species